AGAUAAUGCAUGGACUCCAUUCUCUCUCUACGUAUUGCAAUGGUUCACAGCUUAUCUGAGGAUUAAGUGAGGUCUUCAUAUUAUGGAACAGUCAGCUUUGUAAGAAUUCACAUAGCUAAGGUCUUCCACCACAGAAAUUGGCAGAAUCCCAAAGACUUACACGGACAAUUUGAAUUGAAAUACUGUAAAUCAUUGUAAAAUUUAAUGUAUAUCAUAUUCAAACAUUACAUAUCCUUCUAAUAGUCAGAGGCAUAGGCCCAUGUAUCGUUCUAAAACAAGUUUUCUUUUAUUAAAAGGCAUGUAUGUGUUCUGAAUGUGUGAAAAAUCAAUUCUUGUUGCAAAUGCAUCAGAUCUUGUUGUCCCUUGUUGUUAUCAUUUGUAUUGCAAUAUUGUCUGUUUUCAUUGAUAGAAUUGAUGUAAAAAAAAAAAAAAAGAAAGAUUAUUUUAUAUGUAUUAUUUAUUACAGGCUACUUUGUCCAUCUAUCAUGUUAUAGAAACACUUGAUUAUCUUCUCACUCAAAUACACUUCUGUUUAUAUAGACACAAGAAUAGUCCAUCUUGUUGUUGGUCGUGGUGUAUUUGAGAAUAUGGUUAUACUGCGAGUAUUGAUGUUAUUAUCAUGCAUAUACAGAAAUAUAAGUAAUCCUUUUAAUUCGGCGUGUGUUUGCUUCCCUUUGAUUUAAUUACCAACAAUUUGACCUUCUUAUAGUAUACUUUAUAUUGUUUUUUAUGAUUAAAAAAAAAGAUUGUUGAAAUAAAAUGAUGCAGAGAUUG
rnacentral:misc_RNA from 1 species